rnacentral:rRNA from 1 species
GAUGAACGCUGGCGGCGUGCCUAAUACAUGCAAGUCGAGCGAACAGACGAGGAGCUUGCUCCUCUGACGUUAGCGGCGGACGGGUGAGUAACACGUGGAUAACCUACCUAUAAGACUGGGAUAACUUCGGGAAGCCGGAGCUAAUACCGGAUAAUAUAUUGAACCGCAUAGUUCAAUAGUGAAAGACGGUUUUGCUGUCACUUAUAGAUGGAUCCGCGCCGCAUUAGCUAGUUGGUAAGGUAACGGCUUACCAAGGCAACGAUGCGUAGCCGACCUGAGAGGGUGAUCGGCCACACUGGAACUGAGACACGGUCCAGACUCCUACGGGAGGCAGCAGUAGGGAAUCUUCCGCAAUGGGCGAAAGCCUGACGGAGCAACGCCGCGUGAGUGAUGAAGGUCUUCGGAUCGUAAAACUCUGUUAUUAGGGAAGAACAAAUGUGUAAGUAACUAUGCACGUCUUGACGGUACCUAAUCAGAAAGCCACGGCUAACUACGUG